CCUACGGGGGGCAGCAGUGAGGAAUAUUGGUCAAUGGCCGGGAGGCUGAACCAGCCAAGUCGCGUGAGGGAAGACGGCCCUACGGGUUGUAAACCUCUUUUGUCCGGGAGCAAGGUGCAGGUCGGGACCUGCUGUGAGAGUACCUGAUGAAAAAGCAUCGGCUAACUCCGUGCCAGCAGCCGCGGUAAUACGGAGGAUGCGAGCGUUAUCCGGAUUUAUUGGGUUUAAAGGGUGCGCAGGCGGAGGCACAAGUGAGCGGUAAAAUCGCGGGGCUCAACCCCGCUCCGCCGUGGAAACUGGGUGCCUUGAGUGCGCGGAGGGUAGGCGGAAUGCGUGGUGUAGCGGUGAAAUGCAUAGAUAUCACGCAGAACUCCGAUCGCGAAGGCAGCCUACCGGCGCGCAACUGACGCUCAUGCACGAAAGCGUGGGUAUCGAACAGGAUUAGAUACCCUAGUAGUC
rnacentral:rRNA from 1 species